UAGCAACCCAAGCCACUGCUGUGACAGCACCAGAUCCUUAACUCUCUGUGCCACAAGGGAACUCCACCUUGCUUGGAGAUUUAAUAUGUAUGGUUGCCAGUGGUUGGGGAGUUUCCAGCGGAUGGUAAUCUCAUAAUUUAAUUUGUCCAACUAUUUACUUUACACAUUUGCAUUUAUUCUCCUUUUUCUAGCCAUGCUGUAUCCCUGUACUCAAGCCCAUUCUUGUCUGUACCUUGUGUCCCUGAGUCCCAAAUCUUUUUUUUUUUUUUUUCAAAUGUAGCAAAAGACCUGCAGAGUAUAGACAUAUGUAUGUGUGUGUUUGUGUGUAUGUUAUGUGCUAUAUGAUUUUGAUUUCCUAUUUCAGAUGGCUUGCUUUGUUUCUUGGGGCUUGAUUCUACGUCUAGGAUAUUGGACCUCAGAUUGACUGGUUUUGCUUUUAUUUAGGCAUCUAUCUUUGUAUUCGUUCUUUUAGCUUUGUGUGUUGGCAUCAUUCAUACAUAUAAUUUGUUAAUAACUUGCUAAAUCAUUUAAAGCUAUGUUAAUUUGGUAUGGGGAUGAAAAGUUUUUCAUGUUUAAAUUACUAUCAACAUAUUUAUAAAUUUUUCAAAAAAGUUUCAGUUAUACAAAUUUAUAUUAAGGCGUUUCCUGCCUCUGUAAUUUUCAAAUCUAUGGAAGAGAUGAACAUAAUUAGAAAUAAAAGCAAUGAGGAGUUCCCAUCGUGGCGCAGUGGUUAAUGAAUCAGACUAGGAACCAUGAGGUUGUGGGUUCGAUCCCUGCCCUUGCUCAGUGGGUUAACGAUCCGGCGUUGCCGUGAGCUAUGGUGUAGGUCGCAGAGCGGCUCGGAUCCUGCGUUGCUGUGGCUCUGGUGUAGGCUGGCAGCUACAGCUCCGAUUAGACCCCUAGCCUGGGAACCUCCAUAUGACGCGAGAGCAGCCCAAGAAAUGGCAAAAUAAAUAAAUAAAUAAAAGCAAUGAAAUAUAGAGAAAACUAGAAUCAAAGAUAUGGUUCUAUAAACUCAAUUAGGACAUUAAAAUUAAACACAUUUUUGGGUAAAUUCAGUAAAUGUAGAUGGAAGUUUCAGAUUGUCGGUCACAUAAGGAUUUUGAAUUUGAACAAUAUUCACAACCAUGGAAAGCACUGCUUAACAAGCACCCUAUCUAAAUUUGCAAUUGUCCAUCUGUAGCUCAUCACUUCCAAUCUUUCUCUUUCCAUUUUCAUUUCUAUAGAGCAAUUUUUCUGAAAUAAUACAUUCUUAUUUAUUAUGCUUUUUGUUUACUAUUCAAUCAUCCACCUCCAUUGAACUACACCGAGACCACAAGGCAGAGAUCACUUUGUUUACUAACAUGCCGAAUGUCUGACAUAAUGCCUGAGACGUAGAAUUACUUAAUAUUUGUUGGAAAAUAUAAAUGAAUUAUUGCACUUUUAAAGAAGUAAAAUGGGAGUUCCUUUUGUGGCUUAGUGAUAACCAACCCAGCUAGUAUACAUGAGGAUGCGAGUUUGAUCCCUGGCCUUGCUCAGUGGAUUAAGGAUCCAGCAUUGCCUUGAGCUUGGUGUAGGUCACAGGCACGGCUGGCUUGGAUCUGGUGUGGCUGUAACUGUGGUGUAGAUUGGCUGCUACAGCUCUGAUUUGACCCCUAGCCUGGAAAGUUCCAUAUGCUGCAGGUGUGGCCCUAAAAAGACAACCAGAAAAAGUAAAGUGCAUCACAUAAAAAUAUAAAAUAUAAACAGUGAAGUUGGCCUGAAAACUGUUUUUAGAAUUCAAAGUGUUAAAAGGAACAGCAUAAGAUGAUAGGUUAAAUUAUUCCAUAGUUUGAUUGAGAUGUCAGUUACAUGAUGAUGUGUUCGAAAACUCAUGGAACUAUGCAUAAUAAAAGACUGAAUUUUACUAUAUGCAAAUUUUGGAAAAAUAAAAAACAGGUCUAUAUAAAAUAAAAAUCAGCCUGCAAAUCAAUGUGCGAAUGCCUCAAAUAAUAUCUUUUGGAGAUAUAAAACAAAAGAAAGGAUUGAAGCAUGUGUUUUACUUAUGGUUUCAUAAUAGGAGAGAGAAUGAAUACAUCUAGGAUCUUAUUUAAGGUAAAGCAAUUUUCAUUACCUGAUCCUUCUCCCUUUUCUAUAAAGGACAUGAAAGCAUUGGAAGUUUUGUAAUGCUGUAUUUUUGGAUACCUUACUUUGCUAUAUUUUAUAAAUCAUAUUAAUUACAUUUCUGGCUUCAACACUGAAAGAAAUCCUUACAUUUCUGGCUCAGCAUUGAAAGCAGUCCUUGGCCUGGGUCUGACUAUAUGUGUCUGGGUUCAUGGAAGUGUACUAAGCUGAAAUCAUGAAACAGGAGGAAUCUUUGCUGUGCUAUGUGAAAGUUAAUGCUGAAACUGUAGUUUUAAAACAGCUUUUCUUUUGAUGUAUUUUUAAAUUUAAAAGAGUUUUAGAGACUGAAAGGAAGCAGUGAGUAAAAUUAAAGGAGAAAGUACCAUCAAGACUAGAUUUUUGUGUAUUUAUAAAGGAUUGGUAUGUUGGAAAUUAGAUUUUUUUCUUACUUUUGAUGAAAGUCAUUUUCAUGUUUAUAUAAUGAACGCUACUAAAGUGUCUUACAAAGCCUUUAGACCUUAAAACAAUGUCUGAUAUAAAAAUAAUCUUUUAGAGAAAGCCUUAUUUUAAAAGAUGUAAAACUUAUAUGCUACUAUUUGAAUAAAAAACAGUUUAGGAAAAGUGCCAUUUUACCUUUUAACAAGACCAGAAAAACAUCCUAUAUAAGACAGAGAAAAAUCAUCUUGAUGUGUUCUGUUUGCUACUGAAAGCUGUAAGCUAUUUUUAUUUCAGGAAAUUUUCAAAUAUCUUGACUAGUAUAAGAGCCAUCAUCUAUGGUCCAGAAUACACAUCGUAUCUUAAAGUUAGCUAUUCCCGAGUUCAAGUACCUUUGUAACUGACUUCAGUGUGUCCAUGAGCUUAUUGUGAACUACAAACAUACUUCAAAGCAUCAUCACAGAGAUUUGGUAACAGAAUGAACAAGAUAAAAUGAACAGAAGAUAGAACAAUAUAGUGUCACUGUUAUAUAAGGAAUAUAUUAUUGGCACAUGAACAGAAAGUGUUUCUCAUAAUGGUGCAUUAUUUUCCUUAAUUCAUCUUCACUUUUCACCAUGGAUUUUCACUUUCUUUUCUCCCUCACCCCAGCUUUAUUGAGGUAUAAAUGACAAAUAAAAAUUGGACCUAUUUAAGAUGAAUAACAUGGUGAUUUGGUACAUAUACACAUUGUGGGAUGAUUACCUAAUUAACAGAUCAAUUAAUUAGAUCAUAUGGUUAGCAUUUUCUUAUGUGUGGGAUGUGUGAACACUUAAGAUUUACUCUCUUGUAGCUCCUAUUGUGGCUCAGCAGAAACGAAUCUGACUAGUAACCAUGAGGACAUAGAUUUGAUCCCUGGCCUCACUCAGUGGGUUGAGGAUCCGGCAUUGCCCUGAGCUGUGGUGUAGGUUGCAGAGGCAUCUCAGAUCUUGCAUUGCUGUGUCUGUGGUGUAGGAUAGCAGCUACAGCU
rnacentral:lncRNA from 1 species